rnacentral:misc_RNA from 1 species
GAUGAAGAACGUAGCGAAAUGCGAUAAGUAAUGUGAAUUGCAGAAUUCAGUGAAUCAUCGAAUCUUUGAACGCACAUUGCGCCCGCCAGUAUUCUGGCGGGCAUGCCUGUUCGAGCAUCAUUACAACCCUCAGGCCCCCGGGCCUGGCGUUGGGGAUCGGCGGAGCCCCCCGUGGGCACACGCCGUCCCCCAAAUGCAGUGGCGGUCCCGCCGCAGCUUCCAUCGCGUAGUAGCUAACACCUCGCGACUGGAGAGCGGCGCGGCCACGCCGUAAAACACCCAACUCUUCUGAAGUUGACCUCGAAUCAGGUAGGAAUACCCGCUGAACUUAAGCAUAUCAAUAAGCGGAGGA